rnacentral:tRNA from 1 species
ACAGUAGCUCAGUGGUAGAGCUAUCGGCUGUUAACCGAUCGGUCGCAGGUUCGAAUCCUGCCUGU